GGGAGGGAGGGGACGAGGGCGGAGCGGGGCGGGCCGGAGGUGUGGGGCCCGCCCCGGGGCGGAGUCACGGCCCGUUAGACCCGCUGGGAAAGGAGAAACGUGUUAGAGUAUUCUGAGGCUCCUACAUUUUUAGAGCAACUUCGAAGCUAUGCAUUUUACUGAUGGAUCCGAGUGAGGCCCAGCCUUUUAACUCUUACUCGGAUAUUUUGAAAAGAAGAACUCGCAUCAUAUCAGCAAAUGUGACAUUCGUCACGUAGUCACGAUUUAUUUGGAGUAGUCAAGGAAAACUAUAUAGCUUGGAUAUAGCUCAACUUCAAUAAUUACAAAAAACCCAGAGGUUGUCUUGACCACCCAUUAUCACCGUCAUUUUCUCCGACAAAAUAUUCCAGGCUCUGCUGGUUCUGAUCACUGAUUACUGGUGAUUGUUCGUUUUAAGUCCUUGGGGCCUUCUUGCUUCUGUUCAUAAGGUUUCUUUCGCAGGGUGGAGAGGAGCAGUUGGUGGGCAUUAAGUGAGACUGCCAAGUUGCUUCAUUAUGUCUGCGGAUUACCAUAUAUUAUCCCAAAAAGGUAAUUUCUUCAGACCUCAGUGUGCUUGGGGGUAAAGACUUCUUAGAACAGUGCCUGCUGUACAAAUUUUUACUCUUACUAGACGUAUUUAACGCAAGUAAUCUUGCCCUACUGAGAUGCUCUCUGUCCUGUGUGUUCCUUACAGAUAAUUGCUCGUUUUUGUUUUUGUUUUUUUGUUUUUUUUUUUUUUCUGUUUUUUUGGGUUUUUCGAGACAGGGUUUCUCUGUAUAGCCCUAGCUGUCCUGGAACUCACUCUGUAGACCAGGCUGGCCUUGAACUCAGAAAUCCUCCUGCCUCUGCCUCCCAAGUGCUGGGAUUAAAGGCGUGUGCCACCACUGCCCAGCUUAAUUGCUCUUUCAUUUGAACCAUUUUGAAACAAUCUCACUUCUUCAGUCAGCUCUGGGAUCACUAUCUUUAAUAACACUUCGUAAACUAUCCUCACACCAUAACGACUUAAAUGCCCCUCUAAUGCACUACCAAAUUACCUGUGUGUUAGUUUCCUAUUUGGGCUGUAACAUAUUACCACAGACUUAACAGAAUCAACAUAAUGUUUCUGGACUUGUGGAAGACAGAAGAUAUUUUAGUUGGAGAUGUGUCGUGUGUGCACGUUGGAGGCUAAGGGUAGUGGUCAGGGUCUUCCUUUACCACUACCCACCUUUGCUUCUGAGUCAGGCUCUCCCGCUGAUCCUGGAACUCAGUGUUUGGUGAUCAGUCCCCAGAGGCAUCCCUUCUCCAUCCCAACCCUCUGAAACGCCUUCCUAGCCCCAGUUCAGUCUUACUGAGCUAAAAUUAGCUGUUUAAUGGGCUGUUUCCUUCUGAGGGCUUUAAAGAAGAGUUUCCUUGACUUUUCCAGACUUUUAGUGGUUGCUGCAUUCUUUGGCACAUGUCCACAUCCUCCAUGUUCAAAGUCACUACAAUAGCAUCCUGCAAUAUCUCCCCCUGUUCAGAGACAAGGAGAGAUAGACUCAAGUGUUUAAGUAAAAUAAUCCACUUGAACAUUAAAAAAGCUGUAUUAUGAGCCAGAAAGAAAAGAUAAGGCAGCUGUAGACAGAGAUAUAUUUGUGAUGCAAUGAUAGAGAUAAGGAACGAAAGAAUGAGAGGUCUGUGUUUUCCUAAAGGAAGAUUCACGGUCAUAAUGAAGAAUAGAGAGAAGGGAAUGGUGUUCUAUAUUCUAUGAGCAAUACAUACUGAAAUUGAAGCUUCUAGGAACUGGGCACAUGGAAGAAGUACAGGAUAGUUUUUAAGUCAUGCUUGGAAAACUUGUAGACUCUAGAGAAGGACUCAUAGACACAGAUGGCCACCAAAUAUGUAAAACCUUACAUACCUUAAUAAUCCAAGAAAUGAGUAUUACAAUAACUGUGAGGUACUAUUAAAUAGAAAAAAUGAUGUCCUUUGUUACUGCAUGCAUGUGCGUGUUCAUAUAUAGACACACAUACACAGUCUCUUUUGUAUUCCUUAAAAUGAGAAAUAAGCCUGGCUUGGUUUCACACAUGUAAUCUUAGCACUCAGACUGGGUAAAGUGGAUUUCCUUGAGUUUGGGUUACAAUCUGGACUACAUAGCAAGAAAGCAGAAAAUAGGAAAUUAUAGUGAUUGCACUAUAACCUUGUAAGAAAUUUGUUGUUUUCUAAUAGUUUGAUAGUAGAAUUUUCUCCCUCUAAGAAUUUUAUGCUGAUAUCAAAUAUUUAAAGCAAAUAUUAAAAAUGGAAUUGUAUUGGCUAAGGGUGAUGAUAGGCCCUGCCAUUAAGGCCUGCUGCUCUAGUUCCCAUGGAUUGUUCCAAAGCCCAUACUUGAGAAUGGUUUGAAAUCCUAAGUGUAAAUAAAUAUGAGCAAUAUUUAUAUAUAAUAUAAAUAAUAUCUAUAAUAUAAAUAAUAUUAAAAUAGAUAAUAAGUAAUGUUAUAUGUUACAUUAUGGUAGGUUUUUUAAAGAGUUUAUUUUAUUCUAUCCAAUGUCUACUGGUGUUUUGCCUGGAGAGAGAGAGAGAGAGAGAGAGAGAGAGAGAGAGAGAGAGAGAGAGAGAGAGAGAGGGAGGGAGAGAGAGAGAGAGAGGGAGAGAGGGAGAGAGAAGAGAGUGCAUUUCAUUCUGCCUGAUGCCCAUGGCAGUGAGAAGAGGGCCUUGAAUUCCGUGGAAGUGGAGUAGCAGAUGCUUGUGAGCCACCAUGUGGGUGCUGACAACUGUACCCAGGCCCUCUGCAAGAGCAGCAAGUGUGCCCAACUAUGGGCUCCUCUCACCAGUCCCCUAAGACUUUUCUUCUUUUUUUUUUUUAAGAUUUUAUUUAUUUAUUAUAUGUACACUGUAGCUAUCUUCAGACAUUUCAGAAGAGGGCAUCAGAUCUCGUUACAGAUGAUUGUGAAUCACAAUGUGGUUGCUGGGAUUUGAACUGAGCCACCCUCCCCCUUUGUUUGGUUUCGUUUCCUUUCAUAUGGGGUUUUUGUUUGUUUGUUUUUUGUUUUUCGAACGGGUUUCUCUUUGUAGCCCUGCCUGUCCUGGAACUUACUCUGUAGACCAGGCUGGCCUUGAACUAAAAAACCUGCCUGCCUCUGCCUCCCAAGUGCUGGGAUUAAAGGCGUGCACCACCACUGCCUACCCCUAAAAUAUUUUCGAAAGGAGUUUAGAAAACUGUAAUCUGUUGAGGUUAUACAUUUAUACAUGUGGAAUGCUCUAGAAAAUCCUUAAAGGGUAGUAACAGUGAUCAGUUUUCAUCAGUAAGACAGACUUUUUUCUUCAUUGACUUUUUAUUUUCUAUUUUAAAACUGAGAAAUUAUUACAAUGUUGAGGGAAAAAAUGCUUUAAUACUAAAAAAAAAAAAAAACAAAGAAAAACACUGAAGACUGUGUGUGUGUGUGUGUGUGUGUGUGUGAGAGAGAGAGAGAGAGACAGAGAGAGAGAGAGAGACACUCUGAUCUUAUGAGGCAGUAUAUUCAGAGGCACAUACUUUCAGGACUCUUCAUUAAGGCUCUAAUCCUAUUUCUCUCACCGCAGUGCAUGUUAUACCACUAUGGGCCACUAGAGGAGGAUAACUUCAAAUGAGACUACCUUUCUGCUCCCUUAUUUUUAGUUAACAACAUUGUUCUUCGUUGUACUGGCAGUUGAUCCCUGACUCUUUCUUACUAGAUCCCAGAAGCACCCACAGUAGUACCAGCAGUGCCUCCUUGGCAAUGGGACAUAAGUCUGUGACACGCUGGGUCUUCAUGCUUAAUCACGUAAGGUGGACUGGGAUGAAGAAUUCCGGAAGUUCACAGGGAACCAAGCGUAGGUAGCACUGUUGCUUCUGAACCAACUGGAGAGCCUAAGACAAUGACAACUGGAGAGCCUAAGACAAUGACAAGACGGGCUCAAGUCCAAACCAGAGCUGCCGGGGUAACUACAAACGCUUCACUAGCUUGUUAGAAUUUCCCACACACAGGGGCUCAAAACACAACAUUGUGGGUUGCAGAAUUGUAACUAAAGUAGCAUUUGUGUGCUCAGACGCCUCAUAUGCAAAGAUGAUUAGUUACAAGAAAGACUUUGCACCUUGGUAUGGAGACCACGUACUAGGACUUAUGGAAAGCUGAGCUCUUGGGACUGCCUAUCUGCCUGUGUCUGAAGAGACUGAUAUGAAGACCCUACAGUAAGCUCAAGGCCCACCCCAGCUGCUUCUCAUUACCUCUAGGACUCUAUCUAGAUGCAGGUUUGGAUUUGUUCUGAGGAACCAGGUACAAAGCCUGGCACAAAAGGAAAUAGCUUAUACUCCAAAGUAAUUGCAAAAUGUUGCUCAAUUUUAGUGACAGAAACUCAAGUAACACUGAUUUAUUAGACUAGAGAAAAUAGAUACAAGGCAGUGAACUAGAUAAAAUGUGCUGAUAUGGAAGGAUCUGGAAGGCAAAAGUUGUCUAUGUUCUUUGCUGAUUGAAGAGAACCAGCUGGAACCUACAUUCAGUCAGUCAGGCUAACUGCCAGAAUCGGGUUAAUGAAGAGGGUAAGAUCCAAAGACUUAGGGAAUUGGAAUGUGGUCUGAGUGUUCAACUCCAAGGGUGUAGCCUUCAAGAGAGUUCAGACACAACUCCCCGUGCUGAGGCACUGAGAAAUGUGUCAAUGAGAGGGUGACAGUGUUCUGUGACGUCUGUCUUCAGUAGGUCGAGUGGUAGUAACCGGUACUGCUACAGAACUGAGCUCCCGAGGUUCAGUGGGAGCUCAGCUUCAGUCUCCCAUAGAGACAAUGGUCGGUAGGCAGUGGUUGGCUAUAAGAAACAAAGUUGCUGCAUUGUUUUGACCACUGGUAGCUGAUAGAUCAAGGUGUCUGGAGGAACUAAAUAGGCCACAGCCUAUUAAAUCAUUAUUUUGUCUUUUAUAGGGACUAGGAAACUGGUUUUAGCACCAAUGUAGAGAAAUAGUCUUAAUUUCCAUAUUUAAGUUGAACAAGAUAGACUCUUAGAUGAGCAAAGGACAGUGUUGUUCAUCUCUGUCAUACACAGUAACAAGAAAUUAAAGAUUUAUAAACUUUG